rnacentral:rRNA from 1 species
UGGGGAAUUUUGGACAAUGGGCGAAAGCCUGAUCCAGCAAUGCCGCGUGUGUGAAGAAGGCCUUCGGGUUGUAAAGCACUUUUGUCCGGAAAGAAAUCCUUGGCUCUAAUACAGUCGGGGGAUGACGGUACCGGAAGAAUAAGCACCGGCUAACUACGUGCCAGCAGCCGCGGUAAUACGUAGGGUGCAAGCGUUAAUCGGAAUUACUGGGCGUAAAGCGUGCGCAGGCGGUUUGCUAAGACCGAUGUGAAAUCCCCGGGCUCAACCUGGGAACUGCAUUGGUGACUGGCAGGCUAGAGUAUGGCAGAGGGGGGUAGAAUUCCACGUGUAGCAGUGAAAUGCGUAGAGAUGUGGAGGAAUACCGGUGGCGAAGGCAGCCCCCUGGGCCAAUACUGACGCUCAUGCACGAAAGCGUGGGGAGCAAACAGGAUUAGAUACCCUGGUAGUCCACGCCCUAAACGAUGUCAACUAGUUGUUGGGGAUUCAUUUCCUUAGUAACGUAGCUAACGCGUGAAGUUGACCGCCUGGGGAGUACGGUCGCAAGAUUAAAACUUAAAUGAAUUGACGGGGUCAUAGCUGUUUCCU